CUCCGCGCCGACAACAUGGAGGCUGUGAAAACCUUCAACAGCGAGGAUUGUGCCUCUACUCCUGCUUGUACAGACUGCUUUUCCAGCAGCAUGGACACAAGAAGCAUAUUGUAUUCCCUGAAUGACUACAAACCACCCAUUUCUAAAGCAAAAAUGACCCAAAUUACUAAGGCAGCCAUCAAAGCUAUUAAGUUCUAUAAACAUGUGGUACAGAGCGUUGAGAAAUUCAUUCAGAAAUGUAAACCAGAAUACAAGGUACCUGGACUUUAUGUUAUUGACUCCAUUGUACGACAAUCUCGACAUCAGUUUGGUCAAGAAAAGGAUGUGUUUGCACCCAGAUUUAGUAAUAACAUCAUUAGCACUUUCCAGAAUUUAUAUCGUUGCCCUGGGGAUGACAAGAGUAAAAUAGUGAGAGUACUAAAUCUAUGGCAGAAGAAUAAUGUGUUUAAGAGUGAGAUUAUUCAGCCUCUUUUGGAUAUGGCAGCAGGGAUACCUCCCCCAGUUGUUACACCUGUUUUGGCCAGUACUACUGCAGCUAUGAGCAAUACCCCAGGAACUCCUGUUACACCUGUUACUCCAGCCAAUGUGGUCCAGGGUUUACCGGAUCCAUGGGUAUCUCAGAUAACAAACACAGAUACACUUGCAGCAGUAGCUCAAAUCCUACAAAGUCCUCAAGGCCAACAGCUUCAGCAGUUGAUACAGACUUUACAACUACAACAGCAAAAGCCUCAGCCUUCUAUUCUUCAGGCCCUGGAUGCUGGUCUUGUUGUGCAGUUGCAGGCUCUCACAGCACAGCUUACUGCUGCAGCUGCAGCGGCCAACACCCUGAACCCCUUAGAACAGGGAGUGGCUUUCAACAAGAAGUUGAUGGAUAGGUUUGAUUUUGGGGAAGAUUCUGAGCAUAGCGAAGAACCUAAAAAGGAAAUUUCAGCUUCUCAACUUUCUCAUGUUUCAGAAUCUGUGAACAAUUCCAUUUUUCAUCAGAUAGCAGAACAACUACAACAGCAAAACCUUGAACAUCUCAGACAGCAACUCCUAGAACAGCAACAGCCUCAAAAGGCAACCCCUCAGGAUAGUCAAGAGGGAACAUUUGGAUCAGAGCAUUCCGCAUCACCAUCACAAGGGAGCAGUCAACAGCAUUUCCUUGAACCUGAAGCAAAUUUGGAUGAUUCUAUAGAUAUUCAACAACAGGAUAUGGAUAUAGAUGAAGGACAAGAUGGAGUAGAAGAGGAGAUCUUUGAACAGGAAGCAAAGAAAGUGGCUGUUCGCUCAAGAUCAAGAACACAUUCACGAUCUCGUUCAAGAUCACCAAGAAAACGAAGGUCUCGGUCACGAUCUGGUUCUCGAAAGCGUAAACACAGAAAGCGAUCACGCUCACGCUCAAGAGAAAGAAAGAGGAAAUCAUCACGUUCAUACUCAAGUGAAAGGAGAGCAAGAGAAAGGGAGAAAGAACGACAGAAGAAGGGAUUACCUCCAAUUAGAUCUAAAACAUUAAGUGUAUGUAGUACUACUUUGUGGGUUGGUCAGGUGGAUAAGAAGGCAACUCAGCAAGAUUUAACCAAUCUGUUUGAAGAGUUUGGACAAAUUGAAUCCAUUAAUAUGAUUCCUCCCAGGGGCUGUGCUUACGUCUGCAUGGUUCAUCGACAAGAUGCUUUUCGGGCUCUUCAGAAACUUAGUUCCGGAUCAUAUAAAAUUGGGUCCAAGGUCAUUAAGAUUGCUUGGGCUUUAAACAAAGGUGUAAAAACAGAAUAUAAACAAUUCUGGGAUGUGGAUCUUGGAGUUACAUAUAUACCGUGGGAAAAAGUUAAAGUGGAUGAUUUGGAAGGUUUUGCAGAAGGAGGCAUGAUUGACCAGGAAACUGUAAAUACUGAGUGGGAAACUGUGAAAAGCUCGGAACCUGUUAAAGAGACAGUCCAGACAACUCAGAGCCCAACUCCGGUUGAAAAGGAGACAGUGGUCACAACCCAGGCAGAGGUUUUUCCUCCACCUGUUGCCAUGUUACAGAUUCCAGUAGCGCCAGCUGUGCCUGCAGUUAGUUUAGUCCCACCAGCAUUUCCUGUCUCCAUGCCAGUUCCUCCUCCUGGAUUCAGUCCAAUCCCUCCACCUCCUUUUCUGAGAGCAAGUUUUAACCCUUCACAACCACCUCCUGGUUUCAUGCCACCUCCAGUUCCACCACCUGUUGUACCACCACCUACUAUUCCACCAGUAGUACCAACAUCUUUAGUGCAGCCACCAUUAUCCAUGACUCCAGAAACUGUGAAAGAUGUUGGAUUUGGUAGUCUUGUUUUACCGGGUGGUUCUGUUGCCAGCAAUCUUGCUACUCCCACUCUGCCAGCUGGAAAUGUUUUUAAUCCUCCAACUAAACAAGCAGAGCCUGAAGAAAAAGUACCUCAUCUUAUAGAGCACCAGAUUUCAUCUGGUGAAAACACAAGAUCAGUGAUUCCAAAUGAUAUUCCAAGUAGCUCUGCAAUUUUAGGAGGACAGCCGCCAAAUGUGACAAGCAAUUCUGGAAUUCUGGGAGUCCAAAGACCAAAUGUAUCGAGUAAUUCUGAAAUUAUUGGAGUCCGGCCAUCUAAUGUUUCCAAUAGUUCUGGGAUUAUUGGACCCCAGCCACCAAAUAUUCUGAAUAACUCUGGAAUUUUGGGACUACAGCCACCAACUGUGUCAAGUAGUUCUGGACUUUUGGGAGUGCUACCCCCAAAUAUCCCUAAUAAUUCCGGACUUAUAGGAGUACAGCCACCGAAUGUUCCAAAUGCUGCUGGACUUUUGGGAACACAACCACCAGCUGGGCCUCAAAACUUACCCCCUUUAAAUCUCUCUAGUCAAAGGAUGCCCGCAAUGCCAAUGUUAGACAUUCGUCCAGGACUAAUACCACAGACACCUGGACCAAGAUUCCCUUUAAUGCAGCCUGGAAUUCCACCCCAACGGGGAAUCCCUCCCCCAUCAGUACUUGAUUCAGCUCUUCAUCCACCACCACCUCGUGGUCCUUUUCCUCCAGGAGAUAUUUUUAGUCAGCCAGAAAGACCUUUUCUAGUCCCUGGAAGACAAAAUGUAGACAAUGUUCCUAAUCCAGAGAAAAGGAUACCACUUGGAAAUGAUAACAUUCAACAGGAAGGAGAUAGAGAUUACCGGUUUCCUCCCAUUGAAGCCAGGGAAAGCAUUAGUAGACCUCCCCCGGUGGAUGUUAGGGAUGUGGUUGGACGGCCUAUAGAUCCAAGAGAAGGUCCUGGAAGGCCUCCAUUAGAUGGUAGGGAUCAUUUUGGAAGACCUCCUGUCGAUAUUAGAGAGAAUCUUGUGAGGCCAGGCAUAGAUCAUCUUGGUCGAAGAGACCAUUUUGGCUUUAAUCCAGAGAAGCCCUGGGGGCAUAGAGAUUUUGAUGAGAGAGAACAUCGGGUUCUACCUGUCUAUGGUGGUCCAAAAGGCUUACAUGAAGAAAGAGGUAGAUUUCGAUCUGGAAACUAUCGAUUUGAUCCUAGAAGUGGUCCUUGGAACAGAGGAUUUGGACAAGAAGUUCACAGAGAUUUUGAUGACCGCAGAAGACCCUGGGAGAGGCAAAGGGAUAGGGAUGACAGAGAUUUUGAUUUCUGCAGAGAAAUUAAUGGAAACCGUCUUGGACGAGAUAGAAUUCAAAACACCUGGGUCCCCCCUCCUCAUGCUCGGGUUUUUGAUUUUUUUGAAGGGGCCACUUCUCAACGAAAAGGUGAUAACGUGCCUCAGGUUAAUGGUGAAAAUACUGAAAGACAUGCCCAACCACCACCUUUACCAGUGCAGAAUGAUCCUGAACUUUAUGAAAAACUGACAUCUUCAAGUGAAAUAAACAAGGAGAAGAGUGACACAGUUGCUGAUAUAGAAAGUGAACCAGUGGUAGAAAGCACAGAAACUGAGGGGACAUAAUCAUCACUCAGUAGAUAAUUGAGUGGCCAGGCACUGUGUUGGGUGCUAGAGAAAUUAAAUGCCGUCAUCCAUUUAGAAGCUCCGAGCAUAAUAGUAACAGAAGGCAGGAAAGUAUGGAAACGAAAUAUGUACCCAGUGUGUUGCAUGUGACUCCAUGGGAUCCAGGUCUGGCGGCUAAGAGGAGGUCCUCUGAAAGGCUUCAUAAGGAAGGAAUGGCCCAGAGAGAGAAUGCUGAGAAGUAAAGAGAAAGGAGGAGGGUAGUCUGGUUGUUGGGGCGGAGUGGAGAAGAGAAGGAUCCUGACUCCAUAAUGGCCAGAGUGUGUGGCCAGUAGGAUCGCUGACAUCCGGAUUCAUCAGGAAGUAUGGCCUUGGUGCCUUUUACCACGCAGAUGCUGAUUUGCUCCGGACAAUAACCCUAUCCUCUUCACACCCUGGCCAAUCUUAAUCCAGACUUCGGGAAAUGACUGUGACUUGAGAGGCUAUAGCUAUGAUAGUCAAGAUGAGCUGAUUUUCAUUGUCGUUUCCUCUUGAGUAGCUUUUAAAAUGGCAUUUGAAGGAUCAACGCAUUAGCGAAAUGCUUAGGAUAAUCCGAAGUAACAGACGGCAAGAUGAUGAAUGAAGUUCUGGCAGCUUCCUGUGUCCCAGGCCUUGUAGAAAUAAAUGAGACGUGCUUCAAAGUUCUAAUGUGCAUCACAUCGGAUCUUGUUUAAGGAAGCAUUAAAAGGAACCCGCCGUUACCUAUUGAGAAGGCUCUGUGCUCUCAGGCAUUGUUUCUGAUUGAAUCCAGAGGUUGCAAGCAUGCCUCCCUGUAUUACCUGUUGGAGCAGGUUUAAUUUUAUAAAUUUUAAAACAAACUCUAUGAGUUUCCAGUUCAUAAUUGUUCUUUUUGAGGAUGCACUCAGAUGAACAGUAUCGCAUCUGUAAGAGAUACGCUCUUCCACAGACCCGAAUUGAUUGGAAUAUAAAUGGCAACAACCUCCAUCUGUAGCAUCAUCCAGUACCCGUGAUGGAAAGGGCAGAUUGCGAGGAAACCCUUCCGAGGGGGAAAAAGUCACACUGUGUUGGAACUACAGAUUAAUAGAACCAUAGCGUUAGUCAACCACGGCUUUUUUCUUGAACACAACAUGCAUAGACUGUAGUUCUUGACUGGUGACUUUAAUCCAUUAUGAAUCAUCUCCUUGGACCUCUCAAAAAUUGAAAGUCUUGAGCUUCCAUUGAAAAAGCAAUGCAGUUUUGAGAAGAUCCAGGGUUCAAUGUAGUCUUCGGGUUCAUUCCAGCCUUCAGUGUCCAGUUAUUACAAACAGCAGGUACCCAGGUGGUAGAUGAGAACCUAGUGGGAGAGGAAGGAAAGAAACGACAAUGAACGGGCAUAUUACAUUGUAUUAUACACAUACUUUAUAAGUACAUUUCUUAUGAGCUUCUUAUUCAGGCAGAGAUUAUAAAAGUUUGCUGCAAGUAUCUAGACCAGGAUUUGUGUUUUGGAAAUUAUCAGUGUUCACAAUACCUGCAGGGAAAACCAAAAACAAUGACAAAAACUCAAAUGAGAGCACUCUUUACACCUAAAAGAAUAUUUUUUAUCAUUCUUUUGUUUUGGCUCUGUCACAAAUUAAAGUGCUUGGCAUGUGGUAGUCUGUGGUCUCUUGAAAUUGAAUCAAUGAGAACCUGACACUUUCACAGGAUGCUGUCACUUUGGACAUUCAUAAUAAAAAUUGAAACUGA